rnacentral:rRNA from 1 species
AUUGAACGCUGGCGGCAGGCCUAACACAUGCAAGUCGAACGAGUGGCGGACGGGCGAGUAAUGGUUGGGAAUCUGGCUUAUGGACGGGGAUAACGACGGGAAACCGUAGCUAAUACCGCGUACCAUAGGAUGAGCCCAAGUGGGAUUAGGUAGUUGGUGUGGUAAAGGCUCACAAAGCCGACGCGGCCUAGCUGGUCUGAGAGGCUGAGCAGCCACACUGGGACUGAGACACGGCCCAGACGCCUACGGGAGGCAGCAGUGGGGAAUAUUGCACAAUGGGCGCAAGCCUGAUGCAGCCAUGCCGCGUGAAUGAAGAAGGCCUUAGGGUUGUAAAGUACUUUCGUCGGGGAGGCGUUACCCGCAGAAGAAGCACCGGCUAACUCCGUGCCAGCAGCCGCGGUAAUAC